rnacentral:sRNA from 2 species
AAAAGUUUUAGUUAGGUGAGGCUCCUAUAUAGAUAUACGCUACUGCCCAGAAACAUCGAGAGAUGCCAAAUUGGGUCAGCAGAUAUUACCGAAUCAAGGUUCUAUCUAAUGUAGCUGGAUUUAUAGUUUUAAUCUAAGCUAUAUAGUGCUAAAGCUCUACUGUCUAAUUUCGUA